UUGAACGCUGGCGGCAGGCCUCACACAUGCAAGUCGAACGGUAACAGGAAGAAGCUUGCUUCUUUGCUGACGAGUGGCGGACGGGUGAGUAAUGUCUGGGAAACUGCCUGAUGGAGGGGGAUAACUACUGGAAACGGUAGCUAAUACCGCAUAACGUCGCAAGACCAAAGAGGGGGACCUUCGGGCCUCUUGCCAUCGGAUGUGCCCAGAUGGGAUUAGCUAGUAGGUGGGGUAACGGCUCACCUAGGCGACGAUCCCUAGCUGGUCUGAGAGGAUGACCAGCCACACUGGAACUGAGACACGGUCCAGACUCCUACGGGAGGCAGCAGUGGGGAAUAUUGCACAAUGGGCGCAAGCCUGAUGCAGCCAUGCCGCGUGUAUGAAGAAGGCCUUCGGGUUGUAAAGUACUUUCAGCGGGGAGGAGGGGAGUAAAGUUAAUACCUUUGCUCAUUGACGUUACCCGCAGAAGAAGCACCGGCUAACUCCGUG
rnacentral:rRNA from 1 species